rnacentral:sRNA from 1 species
AGAGUGUUAGCAGGUAUCCCUCACGAGGUAUCCAGUGGCUCUACCAACCUCCACCUGGCUUCUAAGUGCUGGACUUGUGACCAGAGGGGCUUCGUGUGAUCCAGUGUCUACAUGCAUGGGCAAGUCAUCCAUCAAGUUCAUUCCCCUUUACUUUCGGGGACAGGAUCUCCAAGCUUGGAGCCUAGCUACUAGGCUAGGCUGGCUGGCCGGUCAUUGGGGAUCUACCUGCUUCCAUUUCUCCAGUGCUAAGGAUAAAUUAAAGGGAUGACAUGUGUGGAGGUCCCAGAACAAAAUACAGAAGUGUGCUUUCUCCUUCCACUAUAUAGGUUCCAGACAUUGAACUCAAGUCUUCAGGCUUGACAGCAAGCACCUUUCCCCACUGAACAUCUUGCUGGCCCUUGGUUGAGAAGUUUGAAAGUGUGACACACCCUUUGCACCCUCCACCCCAGAUGCCUACCUACACCUAGCCCCUCAGUUUGCCCCUGCCCCCUGUAGGGAAUAGACCUAUACCCAGAGAUCUUAAAAAAGAAAGAAAGAAAGAAAGAAAGAAAGAAAGAAGGAAAGAAAGAAGGAAAGAAAGACCAACCGACGUGUAUUCACAGAUGCAGACCUCUGUGUGCAGAGGGCUCCCCACAACACACACCCGUGAGUGGUCACAUGGGAUCCCUGCACACUCACUAGGUGUUCAUGGACCACACACAGUAGGAGAGGAGGACACAUGUAAGGGGGAAACCUUGAUGUGAAGCCAAUGCCCCACACACACACUCUCUCCACAACCUUAGAGACCAGCCUCAAGGCCUAUGCUGCCCAGAGGACUCCAGUUCUUUGCCUGAACUGCCCCUGUGUCUUCCCAGAGCUCAAUUGUCCUCUCAGAGCAGCCAGAGCCUCCUCCUGAUUCCCCUGGUCAGGAAGCUGAUGCUGCCCUGCCUUACUGACGCACGCUCAGAUGCUAGGACACUUGACCAUCAUCGCCACACAGUCACCUAAAGACCCAAGCCAGUGGAAGCUCCACCAUCCAGUCCUUCCAGCUGAGCUACCCUUAGUGACAUGGUAGGGAAGAGGGUCAAGCCUCUCGCUAAAGGAAAG